rnacentral:rRNA from 1 species
UACAGAGGUCUCAAGCGUUGUUCGGAUUCAUUGGGCGUAAAGGGUGCGUAGGUGGCGCCGUAAGUCAGGUGUGAAAUUUCGGAGCUUAACUCCGAAACUGCAUUUGAUACUGCGGUGCUUGAGGACUGGAGAGGAGACGUGGAAUUUACGGUGUAGCAGUGAAAUGCGUAGAUAUCUGGAGGAAUACCGGUGGCGAAGGCGGCAUCCUGGACCGGCAUUGACGCUGAGUGAGCGAAAGCCAGGG